AACGAGUGUACUGCUGAGUGCUACACAGAGUUUAGAUUCUCUGCCCGAGCCCGCCGCUAUCCUCGGACGGGCCGGGCCGGACCGGGCCCUUGACCAAGUAUUUGUGCUUUUUUGUUUUUAAUAACAGCUAGAAACACGCGCAUCUCUCUCCUCCCUCCAUUUUUGUGUUGCUGCGUGGUGUUACACGUGAGUUAUCCUCAUGGUAAAAACGUGACUUGAGACGUACGUGACAUCACUCCCCGAGACGCAAGAAGAAAGCAAGAAUAUAUAUUUUCACUAAGGAAAAUGACCAAAAUAAUUCUAAUGCACAGUGACUUGAAUAAAUAACUUUAAUCUGAUCACUUGUUUGUUAAUGUUAACGCAUUAGAUUACUCGUUACUGAAAUAAAGAGGUCAGGUUAGAGUAACGUAACGCGUUGCAGCCUUUAGUGCUUGAAUUAUACUGUAACAGUGCUGUCAUGUGUUACUCCUAUCCAUAUCUGGGAAUUCUGUGCAGGAUAAUUAAACUGUGAUUACUUGUUGAGAACAUUUUAAAUUGUUUGCCCAUUUCUUGCAAUUGUUUUCAUGUUUUAUUGUCUUUUUACUGUUUAAGACUCUACCUGGCUGCACUGCAUUACAGUGAGAAGGCUGAUAGAGGACAAGCUACCACAUCAUCAGGAGAUCCUCUUUUCAAACUGAGCUUUCCAAAGUCCAGGAAGGAAGGGAGAGUGCAGAGCCAAACCCGUGUAGACAGUGGCGACAUUCAACUGAGGUGAUGCACUGUUGGACCUGCUCUCGUGAAGGUUUUCCAGGACCCUGCCCCAUAUGUGAAAGAGGUGCUGAAACUAAUAAUCCCUGAAGACCUCUUGGACCACACAGACAGGCAGCACAACUCUCACUCUCCACCCCAGAGAGCCCCAGCACCAGCUUACAAAGCUUCUGUAGGCUAUAUUGGCUGAACACAAUUCAAUAUAAAGUCAGCACUGAAUGUUUACACCCAUGGCAACUAGAUACUUUUUUUUGUUAUUAUUUUCAUAUUGAUAUUGAAGUUAAUAUAUAAAGUCAAACUGUUUCACUUCAGAUAUUUAUUUUCUUAUUAUUAUUUCAUUCAUGUCAACACAUGUUUACAUAUGUUUCUUACAAUAAAACAUCUUUCCUGACUGUUCUGUGUUUUCAUUGUUUGAUAUGUAAUUUUUAUGGUAAUAAGUAAAAGAUGAACCACAAGCAAUGUAAGAUAGAGGAAUCAGUUAUGUACUUUUCAUCAUAACACUUUUGCGAUAAAUUAAUAGUAUUUAUGUGACUAAAAGCUUACUGCACUAUUCCCCUCAGACGUAAAGGUCCAUAGUCUGUCUGAUAAAUGUUCAGUGCAUUCUGCAGUGCAGAUACAUUCAGGCAGACAGGUUACAGGCCAGGAGGGUCCACCAUGCACGAUGGUGGCUCAGGAAGCUGCUGUAGUCUUCGUGUAACCUAGAAAUUAUGAAAGGUAAGUGAGUGACGAUAGAUUAGAGAAAAGAGAGACAGAAAAAUGACAACCAUGUUUGCCCAGUGUUCACACUUAAUUGUGGUAUUUCCAUACAGCAGAUAUUCUCAGGUUAUGUAGGCAUUUGUACACAAUUGCCACAGGAACACCUGCUUUUAUGCAGAAUUUUUAUUAUUCACUGGAAACUAUAAUCGCUAAUCACGUCGCAUUUUUUCUUUGAUAAUAUAUCUAAAGUUUAUAAACCGUUGUAACUGGUAAAAAAAAACCAAUUCUGCUGGUAGAGAGGUGAUGGGAGGCAACUGUGGCUUACUGAAAACUUGAAAAUUGCUGGCAGUAGCUAAUUACAGGUCGUCACUACAAAUAAACAGGUUCUCAAGCAACGUACCUGGCUACAUAAAGGUAAAUAAUAAUAUACGGUCACGCUUUUCUCUUGUAACUGCUAUUGCUAAAUUGCAUCCGCGUUACUUUAACUGGACAGCAGUAAACACCAGCCGAGGUUUGGCUAAGCUUUAUGAUGUAAACACUUGAGGCAGGAGAAGGGGGCUGUUAUUUGAAACAACACGGGGCAGACGGCCAGUAAGCUCGUACAACUUUCGUUAGUCUGCAGUAACAUAAAAGUAACGUCGAGGUAACAAACUUAACUA
ensembl:lncRNA